CGUGGAGUGAUUUGUCUGGUUUAUUCCGAUAACGAGCGAGACUCUAACCUACUAAAUAGUUGAUACUUUUUUAUAAGAGUAUACAACUUCUUAGAGGGAUUUGCGGUGUUUAGCCGAAAGAAAUUGAGCAAUAACAGGUCUGUGAUGCCCUUAGAUGUCCGGGGCUGCACGCGUGCUACACUGGAAGAAUCAGCGUGUUUUUCCAUUGCCGAAAGGUAUUGGUAAACCGUUGAAACUCUUUCGUGUCCGGGAUAGGGAAUUGAAAUUAUUUCCCUUAAACGAGGAAUUCCUAGUAAGUGUGAGUCAUUAGCUCACGUUGAUUACGUCCCUGCCCUUUGUAC
rnacentral:rRNA from 1 species